CAAAAUAUCGAGAAGGCUAGUGUCUACUUAAAAAAAAAGCUCGAAGACUUGUGCUUCGCAUUCUCUAAACCUGACUCUGAAGGCUUAGCGAGAUGCGCUAGCAAUCCGAGCAGCCAUCUUUUUUUGGACGGCUUCAAGCAAGACUCCCAUGUUUUUAACUUUGUCUUCAGUGAUCUUCCUAGCAGCUUCACUCUUUGCAAGCUUGACCCAAAGCUCCAUCAUCUCCUAUCUUUC
rnacentral:lncRNA from 1 species